GUCUUAAAGAGUUUUCAUUCCUUUUUUGUUUCUGCAGUUUUUUUUUUCCCACAGAAGGGCGUAUUCAGAUUCCUAAAGAAGGCUUUGAAAGGGAUCCAGAGAGGCAAUCACAUGCAUGUGCAGCUAUUUUUUUCAUCCGGCAAGAAUAUAUGGAAUGUGAAUGGAGUUUCAGCAUAGCUCUUUGUGAUGCCUCCAGAAAUGAAGACUCCUGAGGGAGAAUUUCACUGAGGAACAUCAUGGGUGAAACAAGUUUGAAAAUACCAUGAAGAUGUGGAGUUUUAACUGAACUGAAAGCCUGUAGUCCAG
rnacentral:lncRNA from 1 species